AACCGUGAGGUUGGGGCUGAAGGAAGUAUGGAACAAAAUCGUGGCUCAACGGACAGGAACUUGAUAUAAAAGCUGUAUAAACGGAUGAGGUUGUGAAACAAACCAAAGUCCAAAAGAUACCCGUAACUUUAUGCAGUAAAUCAAGUGAGUAAACGAGGAAAGUUAU
rnacentral:ncRNA from 1 species